rnacentral:rRNA from 1 species
AGGGGCCGGAAACCCCCUUUUUAUUAUUACUCUUUGGACAACCUGCCUCAUUUGCUGGGGAUAACAUUUUGGAAACAGAUGCUAAUACCGAAUAAAACUUAGUGUCGCAUGACUCAAAGUUAAAAGGCGCUUCGGCGUCACCUAGAGAUGGAUCCGCGGUGCAUUAGUUAGUUGGUGGGGUAAAGGCCUACCAAGACAAUGAUGCAUAGCCGAGUUGAGAGACUGAUCGGCCACAUUGGGACUGAGACACGGCCCAAACUCCUACGGGAGGCUGCAGUAGGGAAUCUUCCACAAUGGGCGAAAGCCUGAUGGAGCAACGCCGCGUGUGUGAUGAAGGCUUUCGGGUCGUAAAGCACUGUUGUAUGGGAAGAACAGCUAGAAUAUGAAAUGAUUUUAGUUUGACGGUACCAUACCAGAAAGGGACGGCUAAAUACGUGCCAUCAGCCGCGGUAAUACGUAUGUCCCGAGCGUUAUCCGGAUUUAUUGGGCGUAAAGCGAGCGCAGACGGUUUAUUAAGUCUGAUGUGAAAGCCCGGAGCUCAACUCCGGAAUGGCAUUGGAAACUGGUUAACUUGAGUGCAGUAGAGGUAAGUGGAACUCCAUGUGUAGCGGUGGAAUGCGUAGAUAUAUGGAAGAACACCAGUGGCGAAGGCGGGCUUACUGGACUGCAACUGACGUUGAGGCUCGAAAGUGUGGGUAGCAAACAGGAUUAGAUACCCUGGUAGUCCACACCGUAAACGAUGAACACUAGUGUGUUAGGAGGUUUCCGCCUCUUAGUGCCGAAGCUAACGCAUUAAGUGUUCCGCCUGGGGGAGUACGACCGCAAGGUUGAAACUCAAAGGAAUUGACGGGGACCGCACAGCGGUGGAGCAUGUGGUUUAUUUCGAAGCAACGCGAAGACCUUACCAGGUCUUGACAUCCUUUGAAGCUUUUGAGAUAGAAGUGUUCUCUUCGGAGAACAAAGUGACAGGUGGUGGCAUGGUCGUCGUCAGCCUCGUGUCGUGAGAUGUGGGUUUAGUCCCGCUACCGACCGCCAUCCCUAUGGUUAGUGCAGCAUCAGAUGGCAAUCUAGACGAGAACUGGCGGGUAACAAAUCGGUAG